UACUCUCUCUAGUAAAGUCAGCUAAUUAAGCU
rnacentral:tRNA from 1 species